rnacentral:lncRNA from 1 species
UUUAAACGUCGGUUAUCGUCCAUUGGAAAUGUAUGUAGCUCUAGAUUCGAGGAACUUUGUUAAACUCCAAAGUGCAUACCAUAUAAUUUAGCUAAUAUCCAAUGCACUAGCAGGGCACAAGGUACAUAAAUUAAGACAUCCAGUGAUAUUAAAACCAACCAAUGUACUGCACUAAACUAAUUGACCAAAUUGAGAAUCACAGCUUCAAGAAAAUUCACAUAACUACUUCACCAAAAAUCAUACUAGUCCAGAUUGAAGAGGAUACAAAAUGUCAUGCAUUAUAUACAGAAAUAUACGAAAGCCCAUGUUGCCAGCCAAACAUUAACCACAAAUCAAAUCGUCUCUACCCCCUUCAUUUCCUUCGACAUGUGAUUUAUCCUAUCACAUUCACAUUCAAGAAAUCAAGAGUUCUUCUUCAUUAUUUAGCCAAACUUGAGAUUGGAACAUUCGCAACAUAUCUUAAACCUCUUUGUGCACCAUUGGUUUAGUUAAGGUAACUCUAUCGUUACACGAUUCACUGAUUGCUUCUCCAUCUUUGAAUUGAUCCUAAAACCCACAUUUCUCACUGCAACAUUUGAAGAAUUUACCUUUGUUAACAUUGUCCUUUUCAACUGUGAAAACUUUUGAAAUACGUGUAUACAACGUGGGCAUUGACACUUUAUUGGGCAAUCGCCGAAGAAGUAUCCAACACUCCUGCAACCAGUGCAAGCUUUGGAGUUAUUUCUCGGUAUUCUGUGUUGUUGAAUACAUUAAAAAAAUCAUUAUUAGCAUUUUUCUAUCAAAUAUUAGGGGAUGUAAGCUUAAUAGUAAAGUCCACAUUAAAGCAUAAGAAGUGUUUUUUCUCCUACAACCAAUUCUAAUAUGAUAAGCAAAAAUCAAAAACCAAUGUCAAUUAAAAAAUCGAUGGAAGAACCAAGAACAAAUGUCAAAAUUGUACAAAUAAAAUCUUAGUGUUGGCAAAGACAAGAACGAGGAGAAAAUGUUAAAAUUGCACAAAUAACAUCUUAGCACUUAGCAAAGCAAAGAAGUCAGUGGAAGUGAAGCAUUGAGAGAUGAGGGAUGCCAAUCGAUUAUUUCGUGGCGAUCAAGUGUUAAGACACGACAUCGGCUUUGAUGACUAUGCAGAGUAAGGCGAAAGAGAGUACAUAUCAGAGAGGAAGAGACUGUCGAAGAUUAGGAGACUAUCAGAGCUGAGCGAUGUCGGAGAUGAAUGCUUUGGAGUUGAAUAUCUUGUGAGAAAAUGGAAAGAGGAGGGAGUAGGGUUUGAUUUGGGGGAAAAUUGGUAAAGAAAGUGAGAACGUG